AUGAACGCUGGCGGCGUGCCUAAUACAUGCAAGUCGAGCGAACGGACGAGAAGCUUGCUUCUCUGAUGUUAGCGGCGGACGGGUGAGUAACACGUGGAUAACCUACCUAUAAGACUGGGAUAACUUCGGGAAACCGGAGCUAAUACCGGAUAAUAUUUUGAACCGCAUGGUUCAAAAGUGAAAGACGGUCUUGCUGUCACUUAUAGAUGGAUCCGCGCUGCAUUAGCUAGUUGGUAAGGUAACGGCUUACCAAGGCAACGAUGCAUAGCCGACCUGAGAGGGUGAUCGGCCACACUGGAACUGAGACACGGUCCAGACUCCUACGGGAGGCAGCAGUAGGGAAUCUUCCGCAAUGGGCGAAAGCCUGACGGAGCAACGCCGCGUGAGUGAUGAAGGUCCUCGGAUCGUAAAACUCUGUUAUUAGGGAAGAACAUAUGUGUAAGUAACUGUGCACAUCUUGACGGUACCUAAUCAGAAAGCCACAGCUAACUACGUG
rnacentral:rRNA from 1 species